GGUCGGCGUCUAGCCGCCGGAAGUUUGAGGCAAUAACAGGUCUGUGAUGCCCUUAGAUGUUUUGGGCCGCACGCGCGCUACACUGACAGAGCCAGCGAGUUUUUUCCCUUGGCCGGAAGGUCUGGGUAAUCUUGUGAAACUCUGUCGUGCUGGGGAUAGAGCAUUGCAAUUAUUGCUCUUCAACGAGGAAUACCUAGUAAGCGUGAGUCAUCAGCUCGCGUUGAUUACGUC
rnacentral:rRNA from 1 species